AUUAAUCAAACGAAUAAGUUCGUUAAAGACCUCGGGAUAGUUUUGGACCUUAAGGCCCAAUGGGCUUCGAAAGUCAAGCCCAUUGACUUAAGUUGUAUGACAACUUAAUGAAUAAAGAUUCACAAAGGCCCAAAAGCCCAAAAAUCCAUAGGUAGGCCGGCCAUGAAGAUGAAUUAGGGUUUUUUUGGUUGUUUUAGGUCACUUAAAGAAGUGACUAUAUAAAUGACUUUAUAGCCAAAUAUUCAUAAUGUGAUUAAGGGUUUAUUUUGGGUGAAAAUGGGUGAGAUUGUCUCUCCAUUUUCUCUCUAAAGAAGCUAACACCUUGGAGGGUACAUCUAGCAAUCCUACUACUCCAAGGUCACUCAUUUCUUCUACAAUCAAACCUUGGUGAAGAGACUUAGAGGUUCUCAAUUUUGGGAACUUAGAGAACCUAUUCUUCCAUCCAAAUCCAUGGAUCUAAGAAGCAAGGAAUGAAGGCCCUAUCUCUUUGGGUGAUUAGCCUUUGCUUAUGCAAAGAGGAAUCUACAAAGGUAUUAAUUUCAACUCACUUUGUUUUGAGUUGAUUAUUGGUUCACCAAUCUACUAGGCUUUGACUUUCAUGGUAAUGUUUUGUUUUUGAGUGCAUGCAAGCAUGAUUCCGCCUUUUAACUGUUAAUUGCAUGCUAUAUGAUGUUGCUCAAAUGAACAUGUUUUUCAAAAUAAAUCCUUCAAGUGGUAUCAGAGCCUAGGUCUAGUAGUUGGUGAAUCCUUUUGGGUUUUGUAGUUCAUAAGUUUAUGAUUUAAAAGUUGUAAUUGUUACAAGCUUUAUUCUUGCUUCUUUGAAUGUAAAUUUUGUUUGAAAAUUUGCCAUCUCAAAUGUUUGUAGAUGUAGUUCAUAUGAGCAUGAAUAUUGGAGCUAAAAUUUGGUGCCAUGAUUUUGGGAAUUUUUCGGCCAAAUCCAAAGGGUGAUUUUUUGGGUUCAUGUUUGUCUUGUUAAAAUGGUUUUAAGGUGACUUUUGGAACCCCUAAGUACCCUAGGAUGUUAGCCUCAUUUUGAAUGAUAAAAAUUUGAGUUUUUAUUGCAUGAAAACAUUCAUGGAGCUCUUAUGGGUUUUCAUGGAUGUUCUUCAUAUGUUCUUGAUGUUCUUGCCAAGAACACAAAGGUUUGUGUUUUGAUUCAAAGUUUUGAUUUAUUUCAUAAAGUUUAUGAUAUAUGUUUUUCAAAUGAUUUAUCAUGUAUUUAAAGUGUUAAAUAUUUGUAUAAAUGAUGAUGGAAACAUCAAUCAUCAAAACAUAUAUUAUUUUUUAUGAAAGUAUUUAAAGUGUUAAAUAUUUGUAUAAAUGAUGAAAGAAAUAUCAAUCAUCAAAACAUAUAUUAUUUUUAUGAAAGGUGAAAGCACUACUUGAUUGUUUUUGACAAAACUAAUAAAUCAAAACACCCACCACUCAUUUUUAUCCCUAAAAACCGGCCACCCUAAUAAAAUAGGGUAUUUUUGGGGCUUUUAUGCAAUUACAUAAAGUUUUGAUAUUUUUGUGUAUUUGUACUUUGACCCGAAAGUUUACGUUUUGACGUUAAGGCCUAAAAACGCUAAAGGACAAAUUGUUUUUGCUCCUUUAAUGAAGUUUUUGAAUUUAUUUAAAUUUUGGGUUCUAGUUGUAUUUACAUGAAGUAGUGACUUUUGUGUUUUUACAAAGUGACCCCAAAAGUUUAUGUUUUCGCAAUAUGGCCCAAAAAGUUGUGGUUAUUGCAUGAUGGCCCAAAUAGGAUGAGAACAAAAUUGUUUUGUCUCUUUAAAUGAGAAUUGGAUUUUCAUUUUGUUUAGCUCCACUUAAAUCAAUUUUAUGGAUACAAAAACCAAAUGAAAAUGUUGCAUUCAAUUAAUUAGUUAAAGCGUUAAUUAAUUAAAGGAUGAUUAUGAACCUAAGCCUAAUAUAAUUGAGCUAUGUGAAAGGCGUUUCAAAUUUGUUUGAACCAUGGGAAUGUGUAGAUUAGAUUUUGGUUGUAAUUUGAUUUGAUCAAAUGUUGUAAAAGGGCAUAAGUCCUUCUUUACUUUAAGGUAAUUUGUUUUAUGCAAAUGUUGUAAUGAGCAUAAGCUCAUCCUUUACUUUGAAGUAUUUCUUUCUUGCUUUAUAUGAUAUGCAUGAAAAUGAAGUAAUUGGGUCCAACGCCCCUAAGACAACACGCCUUAAUGUGAUUAAACGCGUAACUAAAAUCAAUCUCCAUCCCUAGACCGAGAUUCAACACAAGGCUCGUGUUGAAUCUAAACAAAGGUUCAUAGUCAUCCUAAGGCCCUAAGGCAACUAUAUAGUCCAUCAAAUGAAUGCAAACCUUAUGUUAGUAGUAACAUAUACUCUUGCUUUAAAAACUGUUUUAAAAGCAUAGCGGGAGUAUUAUGUACAACUAAAACAAUCAUAUGGACCAAUAGUUGUAAUAGGACCAAAAUUGUUUUAAUAGAGAUUAAAAUGUAUAUUGAUAUGUGAUGAGACCUAAAACCCUCAACCAAACCAUUAUUAAGUUGAUAAGCGUGAGAGUGCUUAGAACACUCUUUCGUGGCCUUCCACCGUGGUGGGCUUCAAUCGUUUGUGACUCGUACAAUGUAUUCGUCCAGUUCUGGGGUUGCAAAGUAUGUGCUUACAUUCAGGAGAAGCCUAUAAACAUAUGAUGAAGUGAAAGGUAGGCAACGAGUGUGGCCAAUAUGGAGUUCUUCUGAGGCCAUUCUUAAACCCCUACUUGAACUAGCAUGGAGGGAAUGACUUAACUAAGUGCAAUGGUGCCAAUAUGGAGUUCUUCUGAGGCAUCAUUCUCUAGUGGCCAAACAAGAUGGGUACUUGCAUUAGUUGCAAAUGAGUAAGCGUACUCUCUCAUUAUUAUUGUUGCUAGCCAAUAUGGAGUUCUUUCUGAGGUGGGCUUGGUAAUAGUGAGCCUCCCAUAACCUACUAAGAGUUUCAUCCAAAACUCUCGAAUUCCAAUGAGGGAUAUGGAAUUUGCCAAAAAUAGUGGGUGGUGCUAUUUUGAUUUAAAGACCCGAAUCAAAUGGCUUAAAAUCAAUCAAUUUAUAUUCGUUAUGUAUUUGAUUUACCAAUAUAUUUGCAAACGCUAUCCAACACUUGACAAAUAAAAGCCGAACGUUUAGUUUACGGACUUGGUACUACAAAACCAUAGAUUGUCUUUAAUGGCUUGUAAAUGUACCUAAGUAGUCUCAUCCUCACAAUCUUCCUAUUGAUAAUGUAUCAUUAGAAGAAUAUGUUAGAAAAGGUCUAUCAUAGAAGAGGACAACACUUUUAAUGUCAUAAUUCUUCAAUUACAAAUUGUUGUAUGAAGAAAGAAAUAAGAGUUGCUUUGAACAACCCUUAGUCAAUGCAAACACUUAGUGCUUAUUUCUUUGUUAAUUGAACAAAGAACUUGAGAAGUAAAGCACAAGGGCAUGGACACUUUAUGUGCCAUGAUUCUUCACUUACAAUUUGUUGUGUGAAGAAAUAAGAGUUGCCUUGUACAACUCUUGAAAGUUUGUAAUUAUGUUUAGAACAUAAUGGUUGGUUGACAAAAAUAGUCCAUUAACAUGGACUUAUGAUGAUUUUGAAUCAUUGAGUGUUGAAGUGUUAAACCACUUAACGAGACGGAAACUAGGCAAGGACUUCACCUUUGUUUCCCCUAUCCUAAUGGUUCACUAAGUUUAUGGUAAACUAUGUAGUGAACAAUAACCACAUACUCUCCAAAUUGUUUGAUGUGUAUAACACAAUUGAAAAAGGUUUCAAGAGAGAUAGUGGGAGUUUAGGGACCAUGACUAAUGUAGUCAAAAGGUGAAAGUCAAAUAAAGAAGAUAAAUAACUCCAAGGGAACAAACUUUCUUUAUGAAAGGAUGGACAUUGGAAGGGGUAUUUGCAAGAAAUGUCUUGCAAGUGUCAAGAACACACCUUUCGAAGGUGUUGUAAAUUGUUCUUGAAUAGUUCAAAACAGUUGGUUCUUCUACUUGAAUGUAUGAUUCCGUAUUAGUAACUAUGUUUUACAAAUCGUUGUAAAAGUGUGACUAAUAAGAAGUAGAAGAUAUAUGAGAGAAGAAAAGGUGCUUCACAUACGGAACGUGAAUAAGAUAUAGAUCUCUGUGAAAGCAGAUAGUACUUACUUCCUCAUAUGAACUACCAAAGAAAUUGGAUUAUAGUAAUCUAAUUGAUUGUCUCUAUAGUAGAGAUGAUAUGGUAGUGUUAACUGUUUAGAAUAUAAUGAUGCUUAAAACCCAAAAGGUUGCAAGGUAGUGACUAAUCCCAACUAAAUUGUGAUACCUCUAAAACAUAAAGUUACGAGUUGGUGAAACAAGGAUGCUUUGGAUCGUUAGAUCCGGAUCCAAUACCUUCUUGUUAAAAUUGUAUAGAGGCGAAAUGUUCGAAUCUUUAUUCUUUUGGAAAGAAGAAAGAAUCACAAAAGUUGUUGAGGUUAAUUCACUUAGAUGUUAGUGGCACUUGUCACAACAUAAUACUACUCAUGUUAUAUGACAUUCACCGAAGAUCACUCUCGGUUGGACUAUAGUUUAUUUUGAAUAAACACAAGUCCGAAUACUUUGCAAAAAGGUUUCAAAGAAUUCAAGAAAUGUAAAUAGAUGAGUAAGAUAUCUAAAGUAUUUACCUCCUUAGAUUUGAUCCAAGGAAAGGUAACACUUUAGAUGAGUUUCCUUGAAUGAUAUCAAGGAAAAUAGCAUCAUAAGAUAAUGUAUUUCUCCAUUAGGAGAAGAACGAACUAAAAUAAGAUUUAGUUCGUUAGAUGUUAUCUAUUACCCAUAUAUAGGAUAUAUACUUCUAAAACAAUAUGAUUGUCAAUUAGAAGAUCUUCCAAAAUUUUCAUAACUCCAUAAGAUGUAGUUGGAAAGGAAAGACAAAUCUUAAGCAUGUUAAAGAUUUGGGGUUGUGUGCUAAUAAGCAAUAUUUGUUUGAUAACAAUCUUGUAGGAUAUCCUUAAAAUAACUUUUGGAUAUCGCUUCUAUAAACCAACUAACAAAUGUUGUUUUGUUGGGUAGUUCAUUGUAAUUCUACAAUGUGAUUUGCCUAAAAGCAAAUGAACGAGAGAUAGAACUCAAAGAAUGGGUUCUUUGAGAGACAAGAUAGUAAUCAACAAAUAUAACAACCUAGUUCCUAUACCACAAGCUCUAAGGUAGUCGAUAAGAAUGAAAAUCCUUAUGACUACAUUGAGUGCAUAUACGAUAUAUACUCAAGGAAAUGGUAAAGUACCAUUUGACUCGAAAUAAUGAAACCUUCAUAGCUAAUUGGUAGCUUAAGGUAACUACAAUCAAAGAGAAUGGUUGACUUUGAAGAAACCAUCUUUGAGGUAGGCUUGGUUUCAAUUAAUUCGAAGAUUGCUAGCUACAACUAAAAUGGUGAUUCAAUGUUUUGACAUAAUAUGGGUUUCCGAAACCAUUAUUAAGAUAGUCUUGAUAAUAUAUGUCCAAAACUAUAAAUCACAAGACAUGUAAGUUGUAGAGAUCCAUCCAUCAUGGAUCUUAGCAAGUUAGUGGGAGCUAUUUGCAUUUUAUGAGGAAAAAGGAUCAAAUCGUUUGAUUUCUCAUCAAGAUGUAAAUGAAUCUUUUGUUUACGAGUUUUACAAAAGAUUAGUGGGAGUUAAUCAUGUUCCUAAAAUUUAAGUAUAUAUGAUAUAUUAAUUUUUGGAAAUGAAAAGAAUACUUCUUCGAUUAAAGUUAUGACUUUAAUACAUUAUAUGAAGAUAGAAUGUAUAUGGGAGAUAUAGUCUAUAUACAUGGGAUGGAAAUCUAUAAUGAUAUAUUUCAUGAUAUAAUUGGAUUAUAUCAAUCCCUAAUAAUAGACAAUGGAUGCUAGGAAGUUUCUCAUAUGAUGAUAAACUUCAAUAAGAAGGACGAUUCUAGUGAGACUAGCAAGUUGCCCUUCUCAAAGGGAACGUACCCUUUGACUCCCAUAGAAAUAAUGCGUAAAUUGAAUCCUUUAUGCAUAAGCAGAAAGGUGAUUUAUGUAUUUCAUAUUGUAUGAAAAACAUUGAUAUGAGUUGUACCUAGAACGGUACAAGACGAUAUCAGUGCAAGCCCAGGAUCAGAACCGUGGCAACUGUCAAGUGAGUCCUUAAGUAUUUAAGAAAUACUUAAGGAUAGAUUCCUCAAAGAAUGAGGAAGAAUUAGAGUAACGUAAUGGAAGCGUAAAUGUAUUAGAUUAUGAAUCUAAUUCCAUCAUUGGAUGUUUCUUCAUUAUGAAUGAAGAGAUAAACAAAAUAUCUCUUUAUUAUGACUAAAGAGAUAUUUGGAUGGAAACAUUAAAGUAAUGACUUUAGUGUGUUCCAUUAUGAAUGCAAGAUAUAUUGCCAUAUAGAAGUUUACAACAAUGUUGUUUGGAUGGGAAAGUUCAUUUAUGAACUCUCUAUUCGAUUCCAACCAGAAAGUGUAUGACACUAAUGGGGCGAUAGCUCAAGCCUGGGAAUCAAGGUCUCAUCAAGAUCCGAACACAAAUGAGAGACUGAACCACAUGAUUGAGAAUCAUGUAUAAUGGUGACGUCGUUAUUCUCAAGGUUGCUUCUGUGGAUAACACAUAUAGAUAUCCAUUGACUAGGCCUACUACUCAGCCAUUUAUGAAAUGACUACAGAAGAGGUAUCAUCACUGAUGACCAAUGCUGAUUGGCUCUAGUGCAAGUGGGAGAUUGUUGGAAAUGUGCCCUAAAACCAAUCAUAUGAUGAUACUUUACGGACAUUUCAAAUGUUAAACUAAUCUAGUUUAACAUAUAAAGGGCAAAGAUUAUUGUUUGAGCCGUCUCAUAUAAAUGUUAUAUGCUUAAACGAUAAAGUCCAAGGAAUAUGUGAUUGGGAGAAUACAAUCUAAUGAAGUUAGAUUAAUGAGACCAUUCUUUCGUAGACACAUCCUAAAUGUUCCUGAUCAUAGGAUUACCAAUUGGGCAUUGACAGUCCGUUAAGAUCAGUACGUACUGUGUCUUCUCUCAGGGAGAGUGACUAGUCUCGAGUCAUUGGUGUGUGUGACAUCAAGACAAGUACGUAGGUGCUCAAUAAGAGAAUGAGUUCACUGAACGUGAUCAACGAAGAGUUCUUAUAUUCCAUGUCACAUGAGAACUCAUGGUUGGGAUAAUGCAAAGUAGUCCUUUGACCUGAGGCAUCACAGUUGUCUUUGUGGUUAAGUCCUUAAUCUUUGAUUAUGUCUAAUUCACCCCCUCGGGGUGUCACGGCAUCGUUGGGGUUAAGCCACUUAGCUAUGGAGACAAGUAAAUGCGCAACAAGGGAUCUCUAACCUUCAAACAGUUGAGGGAGAAUACUCUAUGAUAUGAUUUGGAAUCUCUGGCCAGAGUAUGAAUGAGAUUGGGGAAUGCGUUCCAAAUCACAUUCAAGGAAAUCAUAUAAGCAAACGAUUCACAUUGGAUAGUAGACAUGAGUAAAUAAACUAUCAUACCAAACAAUGUGGUCAAGAGUAUUAGAUUAGAGAAGGACCGUAUUGCAUUUGUAAUCCCGAACUGAAUAGGUUCUCUAACCUCUUCUGAUUAGCUUGGGUAACCAUGACAUGCUGCUAGGCGUCAACCAUGGUUUGUGGAAGCCCUAUACGUGUAUAACCACUAAAGGGAGAAUUGAAAAUUGUUUCAAUUCACAAUCGAUGUAAAAUGGUUUUAAUCGCCCACUGCCUCGCUAAAAGGAACCUAAUGGAUCGCACACCAUAAAAGGUGGAGAUUGAAGAUUAAACGGAAAUGAGUAAGAAUGAUUAAAUGGUUUAAUCAUUUAUUUAUGGCAAGGAUUAAUUAAUAUGUUAAUUAAUCAAACGAAUAAGUUCGUUAAAGACCUCGGGAUAGUUUUGGACCUUAAGGCCCAAUGGGCUUCGAAAGUCAAGCCCAUUGACUUAAGUUGUAUGACAACUUAAUGAAUAAAGAUUCACAAAGGCCCAAAAGCCCAAAAAUCCAUAGGUAGGCCGGCCAUGAAGAUGAAUUAGGGUUUUUUGGUUGUUUAGGUCACUUAAAGAAGUGACUAUAUAAAUGACUUUAUAGCCAAAUAUUCAUAAUGUGAUUAAGGGUUUAUUUUGGGUGAAAAUGGGUGAGAAUUGUCUCUCCAUUUUCUCUCUAAAGAA
rnacentral:lncRNA from 1 species